rnacentral:rRNA from 1 species
UACGUAGGGCGCAAGCGUUGUCCGGAAUUAUUGGGCGUAAAGAGCUCGUAGGUGGCGUGUCGCGUCUGCCGUGAAAGCCCAUGGCUUAACUGUGGGUCUGCGGUGGAUACGGGCAGGCUGGAGGCUGGUAGGGGCAAGCGGAAUUCCUGGUGUAGCGGUGAAGUGCGCAGAUAUCAGGAGGAACACCGGUGGCGAAGGCGGCUUGCUGGGCCAGUUCUGACGCUGAGGAGCGAAAGCGUGGGGAGCGAACAGG